AGGUUACUGCUAUCGAGGUUCGACUAAGCCAUGCGAGUCGAAUGUAGCAAUACAUGGCGUACUGCUCAGUAACACGUGGAUAACCUACCCUUGAGACGGGGAUAAACCCGGGAAACUGGGUAUAAUACCCGAUAGAUCUCGGACGCUGGAAUGCAUCGAGAUCGAAAGCUCCGGCGCUCAAGGAUGGAUCUGCGGCCUAUCAGGUAGUAGUGGGUGUAGCGUACCUACUAGCCUACGACGGGUACGGGUUGUGAGAGCAAGAGCCCGGAGAUGGAUUCUGAGACACGAAUCCAGGCCCUACGGGGUGCAGCAGGCGCGAAAACUUUACAAUGCUGGAAACAGCGAUAAGGGGACCUCGAGUGCCAGGUUACAAAUCUGGCUGUCGCGAUGCCUAAAACGCAUUGCAUAGCAAGGGCCGGGCAAGACCGGUGCCAGCCGCCGCGGUAACACCGGCGGCUCGAGUGGUAACCGUUAUUAUUGGGUCUAAAGGGUCUGUAGCCGGCCGGAUAAGUCUCUUGGGAAAUCUGGCAGCUUAACUGUCAGGCUUUCAGGAGAUACUGUCUGGCUCGAGGCCGGGAGAGGUGAGAGGUACUUCAGGGGUAGGGGUGAAAUCUUGUAAUCCUUGAAGGACCACCAGUGGCGAAGGCGUCUCACCAGAACGGACCUGACGGCAAGGGACGAAAGCUAGGGGCACGAACCGGAUUAGAUACCCGGGUAGUCCUAGCCGUAAACGAUACUCGCUAGGUGUCGGCCACGGUGCGACCGUUGUCGGUGCCGUAGGGAAGCCGUGAAGCGAGCCACCUGGGAAGUACGGCCGCAAGGCUGAAACUUAAAGGAAUUGGC
rnacentral:rRNA from 1 species